UACGGGGGGGGCAAGCGUUGUUCGGAAUUACUGGGCGUAAAGGGCUCGUAGGUGGCCAACUAAGUCAGACGUGAAAUCCCUCGGCUUAACCGGGGAACUGCAUCUGAUACUGGAUGGCUUGAGAUUGGGAGAGGGAUGCGGAAUUCCAGGUGUAGCGGUGAAAUGCGCAGAUAUCAGGAGGAACACCGGUGGCGAAGGCGGAUCUCUGGGCCUUACCUGACGCUGAGGCGCGAAAGCUAGGGGAGCGAACAGG
rnacentral:rRNA from 1 species